rnacentral:rRNA from 1 species
UGCAGCCAUGCCGCGUGUGUGAAGAAGGCCGUUCGGGUUGUAAAGCACUUUCAGUAGGGAGGAAGGUAGUGUAGUUAACACCUGCAUUAUUUGACGUUUACCUACAGAAGAAGCACCGGCUAACUCCGUGCCAGCAGCCGCGGUAAUACGGGAGGGUGCGAGCGUUAAUCGGAAUUACUGGGCGUAAAGCGCAUGCAGGCGGCCUGUUAAGUCAGAUGUGAAAGCCCGGGGCUUAACCUCGGAAUUGCAUUUGAAACUGGCAGGCUAGAGUCUUGUAGAGGGGGGUAGGAAUUUCAGGUGUAGCGGUGAAAUGCGUAGAGAUCUGAAGGAAUACCAGUGGCGAAGGCGGCCCCCUGGACAAAGACUGACGCUCAGAUGCGAAAGCGUGGGGAGCAAACAGGAUUAGAUACCCUGGUAG